AACCAAUGGAUCAGAGCGAGGUCUUAAAACUAGAAGAUCCUGGAGAAGAGGAGGAAUUAGAAGAUGUAUUUGUUUUAACUGAUGAAUGGAGGGAAUUCUUUGCAAAAUCUGAGGCUAAAAGGAGGAUGGAUAAACAGAAGAAGAACGAACACAGGAAGUGAGGUGCUCAAUUGCCAUUGUCUAAUUUGAGCACAUAAAUUACAAUGUUGGCAAAACGAAAAAAGUUUUUUUUUUUAAUAACCAGUAAAUUUUUUUAAGCCUUUUUUAGGGACCUAUAGCCAUACUUUGACUUGGAUUGUGUUGAUUGGUUCUUUUUAUUUAUGAGACAAGAUCUUGAACAUGUGGCUCUUGUAUGUCCAUACAUGAUACAUGCCCAUAUAGAUAACUCACCGAUACUAAAUAAAUUCAUCACCGCGGAGCUCCGUCAAGAGAUGUGCUCCACCAGAACGAGCCUCCCCUGUGGAGCAUCUACCGGAGCAUGGCUAGAGACAAGCAAAAACCCGCCCCAAUGAAAUUUGUAUUAUUAGAGCUCGACCCUGUGGAGCUCAAUCAAGGAUGCAAAUACAUAGAAGAACAAGUUUGGAUCAGAGAAUUCGCCUAAGCAAGCUUUCACCUGAAGAGGUAAUUGCCUUAUGAGGACUAACUCCUUCAUUAGUUUUCCCUAUCUAAGCCUAUGCUUCUUCCUCGUAUAUCCUCGUCCUAACUACAAUAGUACAAACCUAUUGAGCUUACUAUCAUUGCUCGACCAACUAUGUUCUUCCCUAGUUCACAGUCACGUUAGCUCAUAAGACUCGUUCCCUAUGUAGAGGGCUUCAUCAUGUUUUGGGGCACUUGCCUUAAUGGAUUGGCUUAGAAGCCCAUCUUGGAGGAUCCAAUCAAGACAUUUGCUCCUAAUGACUCACUCAGGGUGCUCAUCAAAGGCAUUUCGAGCCACGUUAAAGUUAGAUGAGUUUGUGUAUACUUUUCAGCCUAGUCCACCUAUCUGUGUCAAUCUAUAUUUGUCAAAUCAUGUAUUAUUUUUUUAUUUUUUUCUAGGUAUUAUUGAUGGAAGCCCUCUUGAAAGCAUUAGUAAUGCAUAAUGAGAAGUUUUAUUAGUGGUAUUAGUACACAAACAUAUAUAAAUAUUGUAUUAUCUUAAUUAAUGCUGAGUUGGCACUUAA